CCUGGACUGCAGCUCCAGGGUUAAGCCACUGUGUAAAUUAUGGCUCUGGGAUUCCAGGAAAUGUUCCUAUAGAAGAGCCAUUCCUAUUCCUUGAUCAUAGAGGUUCCUUAUCACCUUCAUCAGCCAUAUCCAAUGCUAACUGAAUGAGAGAAUGUUGCUUUUACAAGCUCUUUGGACACAGCAAUUCCAAGGCACUUCAAUGACUGCCUUCCUUUCUGUCUUAGUUAUUUGAACUGGAAACUUCUGAAAGCAGAGAAGGUCUUUCCAGGGGCUUGAGGAUUUUUUUGGCAGAUUGUUUGCACAACAGAUUUCCCACCUGGACUCCCACUAAACAUGAUACUUCCAAAUAGCAACACUACAUUAUCACUGUUGCUGCUAUACAACAACAACAACAAAAAAAAACCCACCUCUUUCAGUACUGUGGUCAAAACCAUGAAACAAAAUAUUUUUAGAACCCAGAAAAUCUCCUGUCUAUCAACUCAAACCCAUUUUUCCAUUAGAGGUCUUCCUGCCUUUUCAGCUUUUGUACAGCAAGCAGAUGAUACUGGCUUAA